rnacentral:rRNA from 1 species
AACAGGAUUAGAUACUCUGGUAGUCCACGCCGUAAACGAUGUCUACUAGCUGUUCGUGGUCUUGUACUGUGAGUAGCGCAGCUAACGCACUAGGUAGACCGCCUGGGGAGUACGGUCGCAAGAUUAAAACUCAAAUGAAUUGACGGGGGCCCGCACAAGCGGUGGAGCAUGUGGUUUAAUUCGACGCAACGCGAAGAACCUUACCUACUCUUGACAUCUACGGAAGACUGCAGAGAUGCGGUUGUGCCUUCGGGAACCGUAAGACAGGUGCUGCAUGGCUGUCGUCAGCUCGUGUUGUGAAAUGUUGGGUUAAGUCCCGCAACGAGCGCAACCCCUAUCCUUAGUUGCCAGCGAGUUAAGUCGGGAACUCUAGGGAGACUGCCGGUGAUAAACCGGAGGAAGGUGGGGACGACGUCAAGUCAUCAUGGCCCUUACGAGUAGGGCUACACACGUGCUACAAUGGUACGUACAGAGGGAGGCAAGCUGGCGACAGUGAGCGGCCCUCUUAAAGCGUAUCGUAGUCCGGAUCGCAGUCUGCAACUCGACUGCGUGAAGUCGGAAUCGCUAGUAAUCGCAAAUCAGAAUGUUGCGGUGAAUACGUUCCCGGGCCUUGUACACACCGCCCGUCACACCAUGGGAGUGGGUUGCAAAAGAAGUAGGUAGCUUAACCUUCGGGAGGGCGCUUACCACUUUGUGAUUCAUGACUGGGGUGAAGUCGUAACAAGGUAACC